UACAGAGGUCCCGAGCGUUGUUCGGAAUUACUGGGCGUAAAGGGCUCGUAGGCGGCCAACUAAGUCGGACGUGAAAUCCCCAGGCUUAACCUGGGAACUGCGUGUGAUACUGGAUGGCUUGAAUUCGGGAGAGGGAUGCAGAAUUCCAGGUGUAGCGGUGAAAUGCGUAGAUAUCUGGAGGAAUACCGGUGGCGAAGGCGGCAUCCUGGACCGACAUUGACGCUGAGGCGCGAAAGCCAGGGGAGCGAACGGG
rnacentral:rRNA from 1 species